CGGUCAUCAUAUACCGAUGUGUGUAUGUUUCGCACGUUGUGUUAUGCCGUCUCUUUCGCGCUUGUGAACGUAUGGAAAAUGUAAACAAACUUGGUGGUUUUAUGCACAAGUGUGUUUAGUUUUUUACAUUAAAAUGAAUUGAAAUUAAACCAUUUUUUCAGAUCUCCAAUGAUCACCCAUCCCACGCCCUCAUGCACGUAUAUGCAGAUCAACGAAAUGCAGCUAAGCAACCGAUCGGGGAAGAACCAUGGCCAAUAUAUUCCAAUCUACAUAGGCGUGACGCACAGAUAAGUGAACGCACUUUUGAAGUCGUACAAUUCACCUAUCUUGGGUCAAAGGACAGCAACGACAAUAGCAUAGAAGCUGAGUUGCGCGGAAGGAUGCUGGCUGCCAACCGGUCAUUCUAUAGCCUGAAAAAUGAAGCUGGAACUAUAUAGUACAUAUAUAGUACCGGCAAUCACUUAGCACCGGUACGCCUCUGAGACAUGGACACUGUCCAAAUCUGAAGAAACCCUCUUAGCCGCGUUCGAGAGGAAGAAACUCAGAAGGAUACUUGGCCCUUUAUAUGUGGAAGGACAAUGGAGGAGCCGCUAUAAUGACGAGCUAUACGAGAUGUACGGCGACCUCACUGUCGUGCAGCGUAUCAAGCUCGCCAGACGUCGGUGGGCUGGCCAUGUUGUAUGCAUGGAAACGGACGAUCCAGCCCGUAAAGUCUUUUUAGGCCGGAUGAGGUCUAAAAAGAGUCUCUGUUUCACAAGAACAGAGGAGGCGUGGUAGGCCCAAACUGAGGUGGCAAGAUGGCGUGGAGGCGUCCACCAUUAAGGCCGGGAUAACGGACUGGCAGACGAAGGCGCGAGACUGUGAGCGGUUUCGGACACUCCUGAGGCAUGCCAAGACCGCAAAGUGGUUGUAGCGCCGGAUAAGUAAGUAAGUAAGUGAGUAGCUAAAAGUAAGGCUGAGCUUGUCGUGCUGGCAUGGUCAGGAUUCCAAUCAUUCUCCAGGUCUCUCGGCCCAGACAUGUCUUCCUCCAUCCUCCUCUGUUCUCGAUUUACGAUAAGUGCUAUUCCACUAGGAGCCCUCUAGCUCCCUGUGCGGUCCUGCAUGUAGUGUCAUGCGGCAGAUUAAUGCGUAGAGCGCUCAAGCACCUUCUUGGCGCGGCACGCGGCCAAUGUUUUACUUGUCCUUGUCUCCGUCAGGAAGAUCAUCGAUCAUCGUCAGGACGGGUCAAGUUAGGUACAAUACCCGACCCUAACUCGCUGCACCAUCGGGUCGUUCCGAAGAGCGAAACUGAGCGAGGAGUGCGACAUUGAUGAUGGAGUGCGACACUGAUGGUAAAGUGUGGUAUUGAUGGUGCAGCGGAAAAUACAAUAUGUGAUCGACGAAACGUAUAGCGAUGCUGGGAACUGAUGGUGUAGUGUGUGUUGAAAGCGUUGCGGCGUAAAUCAGAGCGGGACGCUGAUAGAAAAAUUCCCUCAGCGGGAUUGCGAUAAAUACGAACUAAGAUACACGCGCUUGGCUCUCUGCUCUCAAGUAUUGACUGGUUAUUGAUAAUUAUACCGUUAUCUUUGAUACAGCGUGUUAUCACAUCGGUUGAUCGGUGAGAGUGUGUCUAUAUUUGGACCGUUAUCGUUCGUUUGAAUGAGAGUAAAGAAUAUGCACGUUGCAAAUUGCAUGUCUAGUGAAUAAAGUUCUAGACAAGAGGUGAGCAAAGAGCCACAUCGAAUGAAAAACGGGAAAGCUCAGAGCUUUAAAGCUCAAUUUAAAGAUUGAAGCCCUCCGUAGUAGCUCUUGCUCUUAGAGCACAACACUAAUAACGAUCAUGCAUUUAACAUGUCCACAUUUUUUUUACUUAUUUGAGUUCCACCUACACCUGCGCUUGUUUGAUAUAGCUUCGUAACCAUCAUGUCACCACCGGAUCAGCUGAUGCGAUAGCGGAACAUGUAUGAGCAAGUGAGCCGGCGGAGUGCAGAUGCUAAGAUGCGUGGGGUCAAUGAAGGAGAGGUGGAGGAGUGGUGGAGUGUUUUUUUGGCCAAUUAAUUUUAUCCACCAACACAACAUCACACCGGCCCGAGCUUUUUAUUUAUCUUGAUCCCUCAAAAACCCUCACAACGGCUAUCAAAAAUGAUCGCCAGCGAGGGAAAAUCGCACCGAUUUGGAGCGUUGGCGAGCUCAUGAAAACAGGUUUUUGAUCCCAGGAAAAGUUCCUAACGAUUAACACCGUAAAAAAUUGUAUGAUGAAAUCAACAUUAAAUUGUUGGAUAAAACAAAAAUUUCAAAUCGAACGAGCGAGAUGGAAAUAGCACAGAUAAAUGUCAAACAACUUUCCAAUUUAAACAAACAAAGAUAACAACAAAGUUUUGAAUGUGUUCGUUGUAAUUAUUUUGAACCUACUUAUUUUCAAUUGCCCUACAACAUGGACUGGAAGUAUUGUGCGUCGAAUUGUAGCUUACGAUGCAGUUUUCAAACGUGGUAAUUCGGAUUAACAUUAAUAUUAACAUAUACUAAAUAUUUGCUUACAAGACUUCUAGCAAUCGCAGUGCAUGCCUUCAAAACGUUACAGUAUUGCCAUACAUUACUUUGAUUCAUAUGGUUUUCAAAGGCUAGAAGGUAAUUCCUUACCGGAUUUGCCUCUACCGGAAAUGGUUUAGAAAAAUACACCUAGAAAAUGUCUUGGUAAAAGCGGUGUGCCGUAUUGGGGCAAAACUCGAAGUAUUUUGCGUAUCACAUGUCUAAACAUUUGUCUUUCCAACCGUUUAAUUGCACUAGCUACUUUCACGAAAAUAUCGUUGUAAAACUUUAGUCUCGUAAAAUAAGCAUCGUUUGAAUUUUAUUUUUUAUAUGACAAGUGAUUUGCCGCGUACGGUUUAUGUACAGAGCGUGAUGGUGUAAAACACAGUAAAAACUCCGUCAUGUUCAAGUGUGAUAUAUAUUUAUUUAGUGAUUUUUCCACUAAACGUUACUUUUUCCAUCGCCUCAAUCUCUAUGUCUGCGAAAAUUUCCCUUUGCUUAUGAGUUAAAAAUGCAGUCACAGAGUUAUACGAGAGAGAAGUCAAACAAGUGUCCUUUUUGUGGUGUUUCAUUCAACAGACUAUUGAAUCUAACGUAUUAUGUUUCACGACGUCACAAUCUUAGACAACCACUCAUUUGGGAAAGUAGUCAAUUACUGAGAAAGUAUUUUUCUUUACUACAUUAAGAUUGUCAAUAAAUAUGACAGAUAUUCGAAAGAUUGUAAAUAAUACACAAAAAAGCUUCGACAAAUAUGCACAAUAUCAUUUGCACAAACGGCAGCAUGUAAAACGUUACCAAGUUAGUGUGGUAUACGCAUGGCUCAGUUGCGUGCUUUUGAAGAUUAGAAAAAUAGUCAAACUGGGUAAAAAUAUAUAAAACAGUAUAUAAUAAAACGCUCUUGCGAAAUUCGAAGUAACACAUCGAUCCUAGAGCCAGUUCCGUGAUACAGUCGUUAACAUCCACGACUUUACAACAUACCCGGCGUGGGUUUCAUACGAACCAUGCCCCUCCAUACGUAGGACUGACUACUCUGUGUAUUGAAAGGUAAUAAUCAUAGAAUUGCUCUAUAUAAACCUAAUAUUUCUAAUUGAUUGAUGGAACACUGUAAUUUUUAACAAAUGUCCAGAAUACUAUUUCUUCAUAUGGAAUGUAAUUGUUGUUAAAAUUAUUUUUUUUCAUCUUGAAGUUUGGUUAUUAGAAGUAACUGUAUAAAGUUUUAUGACACUUACAAAUCGUAAAUUGAAAAAACGAGGCUUUAAUAAUGCAUGAAUGCGUUUGACCUGUUAGACCAAUAGGUACGUCUAUUAAAUAAAUAAAUAAAUUUAGAAAUUUAUAAAUUAAAAUAUAAUAAAUUAAUAAAUCUAGAAAUUGAUAAAUUAAAAAAAAAAUUAAUAACUUAAUACAUAUCAAUAACAAAAAAAAAAGUUCUUGAAGACGGUCAAUAAUUCCUCGUGUAUUAAGCGAAUGAAAAUUUAACCGUAAUGUGAAAAAUAAUACUCAUUCAUUCAUGAUAAUAAUGAUUCAUAAUCAUCAUUUACUCAUAAUGUAGAUAAUGUGUUUUUUCUUCUUAGAGUCAAAUAUGUAAAAUAAAUUUUAGCUGUAAUUUUAAUUGUUCAUAAAACUCCAUAUUAGACAAUAUAUAAUAAUAAUAAGA